rnacentral:rRNA from 1 species
AUGGCCCUGGCGGCGACCACAAAAAAGAAGAACAAAGCAAUGGCCCCGGCGGCGCAGGGGGAGUGGUUCAUCAUGUACGGCAUCCCCAAGGUGUCGGGUGAGAUGAGCAAGGAAUUCCCCAAUGCGGCCUUCACCUUCAACGAGGUUCCGCUCCUUUCCCACCUAACCGUCCCGGGUAACGUCGCUACCCCCGCCGGAAGCGUCGACUACCCGUACAUCGCAGCUACCGACGACUGCGGCCUCCUGCUGCUCUGCGGUUACACCGUUGUCGGGCUCACCUACUACAUCUGCGACCCGUAUUUCCGUAGGACGCUGGGCAUCCUCCCCUCCGACGGCGGCUUCAACAGCCGCCACUCCGUCGGCCUCAUCCGCAAUCGCCGCGGCAGUGGGAUCAUGGUGGCCAUGCUCAACACGGGGCUCUUCAGUACACAGGCCCGCAUCACACUCUCCUGCACGAUUGACCUGUGCGAGUGGGUCAACAAGGAGGCCGACUGCGGCCACAUCAGGGAGACAAAACCGUGCUGCUGGGAUGGCGUCCUCUCCCACGAGGGAUUCCUGUGGUGGUUCGACCUCUCUUCUUGUAUACUUGCCUGCAACCCCUUCCUGGAUAGACCGACGUUUUACCAAAUCAUGUUCCCGCAUGUCUCUGCUUAA